GACGAACGCUGGCGGCGCGCCUAACACAUGCAAGUCGAACGACCGAGCGAGAGCUUGCUUUCUCGAGCGAGUGGCGAACGGGUGAGUAACGCGUGUGGAACCUGCCCUAAAGUGUGGGACAACAGUUCGAAACGACUGCUAAUACCGCAUCAGCCAACGACCACGCAUCGGGUCGAGGGAUAAGGGGCAAUCCGCGUUGAGAUGGCCGCGCGUCCGAUUAGCCGGUUGGUGAGGGUACGGCCCAACCAGGCGAGGGUCGGCAGCCUGGUUGUGAGGUUGGACGGCCACAUUGGGGCGGAGACGCGGCCCGGACUCUUACGGGAGGGAGGAGUGGGGGAUACUGCAAUAUGGGGUAAGUCCUGAAGCAGCGACGGCGGGUAGAGGAAGAAGGUGUUCGGAAAGUAAACUCGUGUUGUUCAGGGAGGUAAUGACGGUACUCAACGAAUAAGCGACGGCUAACUACGUG
rnacentral:rRNA from 1 species